rnacentral:lncRNA from 14 species
AUGUCAUGUCACCAUGUGUCCUCACCUCUAGGCGCCCAUGCCUCUGUCUACUUUUAUGAGUUCCAUCUUGAAGCCAACUACCUCAAAAAUGUCAGACCACCCCAUGUGAAAGCUGACCAUGGAGAUGAGGUUCCCUUUGUCUUUGGGAACUCCUUCUGGGGCAUGAAAUUUGACCUCACUGCAGAGGAAAAGCUGCUGAGCAGGAGAAUGAUGAAGUACUGGACCAACUUUGCACGACAGGGGAACCCCAACAGCAGGGGUUUACCCUACUGGCCUGUGUUGGACCAUGAUGAGCAGUAUCUGCAGCUGGACACCCAGCCUGCUGUGGGCCGAGCGCUGAAGGCUAGAAGGCAUCUUUUCUGGACCAAGACUCUGCCUCAGAAGAUCCAGGAGCUGAAGGGGUCCCAGGAAAACCACAAAGAGCUAUAGUGUCCUGUGAGAGAAAUGUUGUGUAGGAUUGAGGAUACAUGGGGUCAGCCUAAAGCCCAUUGAGAAUCUUUGUUAGACUUUAACAAUAACAUAAUCAUCCCCAACCUCUAAGUUGUCCAUUUGACCAACAUGUACUAUAAACUGUUUGUGUGUCAUUCAUUACUCAACAUGUUGGGGCCCUUUUUUAUGAGACCUACUCAAUAAAUGUCCCAUGAUUGUAUAGAUGCGUGAUCUCUUAAGUGUCCCAGUCUUCUUUCACAUUCCACUGGGACCAGGCUCCCUUCUUCCUCUCCUCAUUUCUCAUCCUCUUGUGAUCUCCAAGCCCCAGAUCCUCUUCAAAUAAAAC